rnacentral:rRNA from 1 species
GAUGAACGCUGGCGGCGUGCCUAAUACAUGCAAGUCGAGCGAACAGAUGAGGAGCUUGCUCCUCUGACGUUAGCGGCGGACGGGUGAGUAACACGUGGAUAACCUACCUAUAAGACUGGGAUAACUUCGGGAAACCGGAGCUAAUACCGGAUAAUAUAUUGAACCGCAUGGUUCAAUAGUGAAAGACGGUUUUGCUGUCACUUAUAGAUGGAUCCGCGCCGCAUUAGCUAGUUGGUAAGGUAACGGCUUACCAAGGCAACGAUGCGUAGCCGACCUGAGAGGGUGAUCGGCCACACUGGAACUGAGACACGGUCCAGACUCCUACGGGAGGCAGCAGUAGGGAAUCUUCCGCAAUGGGCGAAAGCCUGACGGAGCAACGCCGCGUGAGUGAUAAAGGUCUUCGGAUCAUAAAACUCUGUUAUUAGGGAAGAACAAAUGUGUAAGUAACUAUGCACGUCUUGACGGUACCUAAUCAGAAAGCCACGGCUAACUACGUG